rfam:Streptococcus gallolyticus strain ICDDRB-NRC-S1, complete genome.
AAUGUGAGUUUGGUCGCUUUUCAUUAUAAGUUAUAUGGGACUUUUUGUGUAUAUUCAAAAAGCCCUAUAAUUCCACAGUGGAGUUACCCACUACAGAAAUUAUAGAGCU